GUUUGAUUACCAACAAAUACACUAGAGAAAAUUUCAUCACCACAUGGUCGACUUAAUUUCGAUGCAAAUACUUUUCAUAAGAUGACAAUGGUCUCUCUGCAUAAUUAUUUUCAAUAGGGGUCAUUUGAUGAUGAAAUGCAUCUUUCAACAAAUAUUGCAAAACAAGUCAGUGUUAGAAGCAACAGACUAAAGGUAUAGAAUGUAGUCAUGAUUCAAUUUUUUCACUAUUUAUGAUUAAGGACUUUUUCAAAUGAUUUUGACUGUGGCAUACCAGUGAUAAAGUUAUAUUUAUAGUUUAAAAAUAAUAUGCCUUUAAUCGUUUUUUUUUUUAAAAAAAGAAACUGAUUCAUUUAUUAAUUAAUUCAUUCAAAUUAUCAGUUUUUGUUUUACUAAAUCAGUUUUUGAAAACUCUACUUCAACCAAGUUUUUUUAAAAUGUCUAUAAUUUUUAAACUCUAAUUCAAUUCACCUAUGACACUUUCGAAUCAUUAAAGUAAUUGGUUUUAUAUAAAUUUCUCGUUCAAAUUUUAAAUGCAAAUACAUUUCUCCAAAAUUGGAAUUCGGAAGCACUGUGCAGGCAAAAUUUGUUACUAUCACUUAGUUGUUUACAUUGAAAUUAACAUCGUUAGUUUGUUUAGUAAAAAGAGAAGUGUGGCUUAGUUUGACUUAUUGAAGUAUUGUUGAGUUCAAUUUUUCUUAAUAGCUAACUAUUGUCGGUUUUUUAUUUUUUGUUGCACUUUAAUUUAUCUUGUAUAUAUAUAAAAAUUAUUAUGUUGCUUAUUAGUUAGAAUUAAUAUAUUAUUUUUAAAAUGUUUUAUUGGUAUAGUUGGCUUAUACUAUCAUCUCCACUAAUUACAAACUUUUUAAAAAUUUAAAUUUACUUAAAAACUAAUAAUUUUCAUUUUUGUUUAUUUCACAUAUAUUAAAAAAUAAUUAUAAAUAAAAAGUGAAUAAUAAUGUUAACAAAUUAUAGUUAUUAACAAUUUUUUUGUUUUUCACCGUCAUUAAUACAAAGUAGAAUAUAAUACUUUCGAAAUAAUGUACAUAAUAGUAAUUAAACAAUUACAAAAAUUAUUAUUAUUUUUACAUUAAAAAUUAAAAAUUGAAAAUUACAUUAAUUUUGCAACAACUUUUAUUUUGCUAAAAUAAAACUCACAGUUAAUAAUAGUUUCAAUAAUUAAUCUUUGAAUUGGUUUACAGGUUUAUCGACUCCACUGAUUUUAAGAGUUUGUAUUGCAACGAGUAUUUAAAAACAUAUAGCUUAACUAACUAUAACAACAUUUGUCAUAAUUAAUUCAGUUAUAAUAAUAACUAACUCCAAAUUUUUUUCUGAUUUGAGACAUAUUUCUACGGUUUGCGUGUAUUAAAUGAUAGCAAACAAAUAAUCAUGAGCAAAACAUUCCUUUUCCUUUUUUCUCUUCAUAAUUAUGUGAAGAGAAAAAUUAGAAAACUCAGUAUGCACGUAAUAAAUCAGGUUAUCAUCAUUCCAAGACAGAGGAAAUAGCUUAGACCCUCAAACAAGAACAUUAAAAGCAAUCCUUCAGUAAAUUGCCAUUGUAAGGCUGUAACGUGAACAAGUCUACAACAACAACAACAGGAGGAGAACACUGAUGAUAUUACUGGAGUGAAUGGCAUGACUGAGUUUUAAAGUCACAUGUUGGAGCGUUGGUAUUAAUAUAAUCCCUCAUCUAUCGAGAAUUCUUGUGAGACUCCAACUAGAAGACCCAUUUUUGAAGUCGAUUGUGUAUUUGUGCUAAGGAAAUAAGUAGAGAGACGUUAAUGGAUAUAGUUGAGAAGAGAAGAGUUUCAUGGUUUUAUGACAAAGAAGAAGACGAGUUUUCUAAAAACCUUUAAACCCUUAUUAGACCACGUGUCACGAUUGUUUGUCAAAUUUUUUUUUUGUAACAUUUAUUUAUAAUUAUGUGAUGGUACAUAGACUAAAUCCAAACAAAAAAAUUUAUUGAUACUAAAAUAAAAAGGUAAUUUAUUUACAGAGACAAGACAUAUUUAAAUCUAAUUUUUAUUAUAAUAAAUAUUUUUAGAUUAAAUAUUUGUGCAUAGAACAACUUUUACACUAUUAUUAACAAAAGUGAUGUGUUUGCAAUUUCAAAAGACCAAAAUAAUUGUUUGCUCUCUAAAAAUCUAAUAUGAUACUAGAACUUGUUCAUUUAGUCAUCAACUAUUUAUAUCCACACACUAAAUUCAAGUGUAUUGAGAAAAAUUUGAAUAUAGUUUAUAGAAAAAUGUAUCUUUCAUCUCAAUCAUAAAUUGUUUUUAUAAGACCGUUUAAAAUAAAAAUAUUAUAAGAGCUCUUAUUGUGAUUUUUCUCUUCAUUGUUUCUGCUUGUUUCAAUUAUAAAAUCCAUCACUUCCAUAUUAGAUUUUUCUAUGUUCUACCAAAAUCAUCAUGAACUUCUUUGUCUUAUUAUCACACACUUCUUAUAACAAUCAUUAAGCAUCAAGCAACUAUUUGUGGUGCUUUUGGCACAUAGUUUUGUCAGUUGCUUUUGUUCUGUAAAAGAGCAAACAUUAUUUGUGUAGCAGAGUAUGAAUUUGUAUGUAAUUCAGCACAUGGAUCUCCUAUAAUGCUGUGAGCCAAUUAUAUGAUUAAUUAUUACAGUCAAAGUUAGACAGAUUAAUUUGUCACCCAAA